UCUAUUUACUCCGACGAGCCUGACCCGACCGUCCGCGGACAAAAGAAACUUUCCCGAACGACGAAACGAGUGAGUCGUUUUCACCCCCAUGGAACGUGGACAAAUUUGGAACGGGAGCAGCAAUGGGAACAGUCGUCCGAAACAACGACCUUGACAACAUGUUUCAAGGAUAUCGAAAUCAGUGCCGAGAAUUCUACUUGGAACGAUCGUCCGUCCUGGAAAACAAGCUUUCCGAAAGAAGAUGGUCGGAGAUAGCGACCGAAACGAGAGACGCGUUAUCUCGGAUAAGCGUCGCGAUUGAUCGGUAGAUAGAGGAGUAUACCUGUAAGGAGAACGCCGUCGAAUUCCAAACUAGCGGAGCAUCGUGGACGCGUCUCGAAGCAGCUCGGGCCUCGUCGGCAGGUUUCUCGGUUUUCUGGGCAUCCGACACGAGGAUCGGGAGGCUCGCAGUUUCGAAACGGUAAAUUGCUCAAGGCCGCAGCCUGUGCAGGUGAAAACCGCGCGCAUAGGCCGGCUGUCACGCGAGCGUCGCCGGCGCACACUGUGUGUCAGAGCGCGCGGCACGCGGCACGCGGCACGGCAUCCCGAUGGCUAUCCGUCGGUGAAGGCACGAUUCGAUAACCCGCCGAUUCGGGGUCAACAUGGCCGCCUUUUAUAACGCCGAGACGGUGAAAAGUCGCGUUCAGUGACAGCCGAUGCGUCCGCCGGAAUGGGAGACGCGACGCGUGCCACCCGGCCGCGCCGGGGAAAACGGCGUCGAGCGUUCAGCGUCGAGCGUCGACGUCGACGCGCCCGACGUCUCGCUAACGAGGGCAGCUUUUCACGCGGAAGCUCGAUGAGCGAUACACGCGUAAUUAGAGGCUCGAACGGCCGCGAACAGAAACGAGACACACGGGCGCACAAGUGUCCCUCUUUUCCCUUUUUUUUCCCUUCUUUUGAUUUUCACUAUUCGCCUUCGGGUCUGCCUCGGCGACGUUCGAAUGCGUCGACGGUGUUCGCGGUGAAUGCCGGUGCCGCGUCGUUAACGCGACGGAGCACCGUGAAACCGAGUCGCCGAUGUUUCCAGAUCCGUCGUUAUGCGCGGUGGUUAAGUGCAACGGAAUGCACCAAAGUUGCCGAUGGAUAUCGCGAAUGUUCGAUGCCGCCGAAGUUCGCGGACACGCUUCUUCCGGCACCGCCGCGGAUUUUGAACGAAGCGCGAGGCAAACGCGCGAUCCAGGUGGAAUGUGUCAGGAAAUAGAUGCGUCUCCUAUAUUUAUUUAUGUCUAACCGACGUAAAGAUUUGUUCGUCGCUGCAGUUUACAAGAAGUUCCGGAGGCUCGCAUAAAUUUCAUUUAUUCCAACGUUCCAAGUUGAAUUAAAAAAUUCUACAAUUUCAACGCGAACUUGGUCGCUUCUCUCCGCUGUGAAAAAUGUGGCGAACCGAAAAAUAAACGUCUCCGGCCGCUUUCGAUCUUCCCGCAUACUUUCGCAAUUUGUGUACCGUGGACAAAAAAUCGCAGCACGCGGGAUGGCGGCCGGUCGUCGGAACCGGCUAACCGGACAGGCGACCGUGCUAAUUGGUUCCACCGAAAAGUCCCGUGUCGGCCGACUUGUAAUCACCGUAAAAAAACGGUCGGCCGCCGCAAAAACUCAUCGGGCCAGGCGACUCGAUUUUUCCCUCCCCCUCGGUGACAAGUUUUUCCCGCGAAACCGCGCGGAAAUGUCUGGUGCCGCGAGCGCGUGGCCAGCCGCGAGGUGAAUGACAGUUGCGGACAGUUCGUACACAAGCACGUUCCACUGACCCUGGUCUGAAACGAUCCGGAUGAGCUGAAACGACCCGUUCCCUCCGCCCUCGCCCUCGCCCUCGCCCUCGCCCCUCUGGCCGCACGUGCCACCCCGUCGCGUCCCCUCGGCCCCCGGUCGACUUUCCGCACUCUUAUCCAAAGCCGAACCCCGGACCAGAACUGUCCGAAGAAAGCCGCACGCCGUUUCGCAGGAGAUAUUAGGAUAAGUUUCAUUCAUACAAACUUCGGAACAAAUCUCGACCUUCGGAAACCACGGGUCCCGAGGUGAGCGAGCUGCGCGCGAGACCGAACAAGCUGCUCGCCUCGCCACGGUACGGUAAAUUCUCCCACAUCGUUCCUGUUGGAGGUCUGCUGCAUCGAUAUUAUACGUAAUUACGCAUCUACUAAUUACAUCCGAGCCGAGGGACAAUGUGGGAGAAUUUACCGUGCAUAGGAUACAUGGAAAAUAAUCUUGAUUAAAAAUUGUUCAAAGAUGUCGUCCGACGCCUUUGGGAAAAAUAUAGCGUUGAACAGAAACGAUUAAA